rnacentral:lncRNA from 1 species
GAGCGUCGGAAAGCCUUUGGUCGGCACACUGCCAGGGCUUGUUCAUGGUUAUCUGUUGUUUAACAGGUUACUCGAAUUUGUGCCUCCACCAUACAUGGUGGUACGCGAAUUUGGUUCCAAUAAUUUCCUUCAAAUCCCAUGUUUAUGAUCUAGCAUUAUUUGUUUUCACUUGUAACAAAGGACUUAAGUUUGAAUCAAUUAAUACCGAUCAAUCAUGUCCAAGGAUGAUAUUAUGUUAAGAUAUGAACUAUAAACUAGAAAAUGGGAAGAAAAAGAGAAUAAAGAAAGUUCGGUGAUGAUAUUAUGUUAAGGUAUGAAGUAUAAAGUAGAAAAUAGGAAGAAAAAGAGAAUGGAGAAGAAGCACAAGAGAAUGGAAAUGAGAAGUUGUAUUUUUUAUAAAUACCCUGAAUUAUUACAAUAACCUCCUAACAACUCUCUAACAAGUAUGCAUGCGAUUGUGAAGUCAUCUAUUAAAAAUUUGGUCUCCCCAAUAUGAUUUUAAGAAAAUUGCUCUAAAAUUUGUUUUCAUCACUUAUUGUUAAUAUAUAUAACUUCAAAUAAUUUUCUUCCUCUCAAAAAUUCGACGAUGAUUAAUCAUGUCUGUUCUAUUUCUCGCUCUAGUGCCACUCACAAUUUUAGUUAAAACUAAAUAAAAUCAAUUAUAUAAAUAUAGAAAUGGAUCAUCUUCAGAUCCCUUCCUCCUAAUCACCUAAAUCAAGGGAUCUGUGACGUUAAAAUUUGAUUCAACGACUAAAGUUAUUAUAACUUUUAAAGUGGGGCCCUGUUUGUAACCGUUGGAUUAAUUUUAACGGCACAGAUCUCCUGAUUUGGUAGAUUAGGACAAAGAGAUCCGGAAAGGAUCCCUUUCCACAAUAGUAAAUUUGGUUGUGACUUAAUUAUAUGUAUUAAGAAAAAUCAAUUAAAAAGGAAGUAGAAGUAGCAUUAGGUUGAAUUGUGUUAUGUUCCUUCCGAGUGCAAUAUAUGGUUAGUAUAAUGGCACAAGUAAAGGUGUCAAACCACAAGGACUGAUUAGACCUCUAUAAAUUACUAGCCUGAAAAGAACCCUAACUAAACAAUGAAAUCAACAAAUUGAAUGUAGGUUUUGUGCUGUUAAUGAGAAUAACUAAAAAUACAAGAAAAAUGUAACAACGAAUGAUAUGUUGAUUGAGAAACGAUGAGGAUGGGUCCAGGGAUUUCGAGUUCACCAUUACAAAACUAAUUCCAUGUUUAUAAAGUUAAACCGUAUUCAAUUACCAACAUGUUUUCAGAGUUCGUUUUACAUAUAUAUGAUCAGCCAUAUGAUGUGUGGUUUUGAUCAAAUUCUCCUAAUCUACAACCUAAUUGGGAUGUUCAACUUCGGUUCCAAAUUAAGAGUCUUUAGCAUGCAAGAAAACGUUAAAGAACCAAAGAAAAUACAUGGUAGGAUGUUUGCAUAGCAUUCUCUUCAUUCAUUCACAUGUCUACCAAGAUUAAGCUUGAUGUUUACUAUAAGGGAUACUUUGGAUGCGGUCCCUAAUCUUUAACAUUCUUUGAUUAAAACCUUAAUAGUAUUCAAAGUUUGAUCAAAGUCCCUUGAAUUUGUACACCUCAUUAUAUUACUAUUAAUAUUUAUAUUUUUAUAGUUUUGACAUUAAUUGUUUGAUAUUUUAUGAGAUUUAUAAUCCUAUAAAUUUAAAAUUCCUCAUUAUAAUACUAUUAAAAACAGUUACAAUAAAAAAAAAAAUCAAACAUUUUGAUUUAAUAAAUGGAUAAAAACUAUGUUAAAAUAAGAAAUAAUAAAUACAAAAGAAUGUAUCCAUAGUGUUAAAAAAAUGGUACCUUUUACAAAAAAAUAGGUACAUUUCACAUAUAACAAAGUGGUACAUUAAUAAAGAAGAAUGGGUACAUUAUAAAUAAAUUAGGGUACAAAUAAAAGAUUAAAAAAAUUAUGAGUACAAAUGAAUUUUUAAAAAAAUAUAGUUGCUAAAAGAAAUUAAUACAUGGGUACAAAAUAAAACUAAAAAGAAAAUACUACAAAUUUAAAAAAAAAAUGUUGC